CCUACGGGGGGCAGCAGUGGGGGAUAUUGGACAAUGGGGGGAACCCUGAUCCAGCGACGCCGCGUGAGUGAAGAAGUAUUUCGGUAUGUAAAGCUCUGUCAGCCGGGAAGAAAGAAAUGACGGUACCUGCCCAAGAAGCCUCGGCUAACUACGUGCAAGCAGCCGCGGGAAUACGUAGGGGGCAAGCGUAAUCCGGAAUUACUGGGUGUAAAGGGAGCGUAGACGGUUAAGUAAGUCUGGAGUGAAAGGGCGGGGCCCAACCCCGGGACUGCUCUGGAAACUAGUGAACUUGAGUGCAGGAGAGGUAAGCGGAAUUCCUGGUGUAGCGGUGAAAUGCGUAGAUAUUAGGAGGAACACCAGUGGCGAAGGCGGCUUACUGGACUGUAACUGACGUUGAGGCUCGAAAGCGUGGGGAGCAAACAGGAUUAGAUACCCGAGUAGUC
rnacentral:rRNA from 1 species